GCAGUCUCUUCCCCUUCCUUUUUCUCUUCUCCUUGGCUCCUAAUCGAGGUCCCUCCGCACUCUUACUCUGGGGCCUUUGCUCGACCUCGCUCCCUCAGUCUCUCUGCUCCGUCGCCACGGAGGUUGAUUUCGACCACCAUAAGCCUUAUCUUCUGAUUUUGCCCAAUCCAAGUUGCGACCAUCAAAGCUAUUUCCACCCACACGGUUUCUUCUCCUACAAUAAUUGUUGAAAGAGCAGGGUCCUUUGCUUGGGCACAUAAAAGUUGGAGAGUCAGAGAGGAGUUUACAGGCAGCUACAAUUAAUCUAUUUGUAGCUACUGAGCUUCCACUUCAACAAGCAUCCUCCCCCCUGUUUUGCAAUUGCUUAAUGAUCCAAAUCCUGUUGUUAGGGAAGCAACUAUUUUGUGCAUUGAGUGGAACUUUGCAAUGUGAACGCUCAAUGUGCUGGUGUUAGUAGGUCUUAAUCAAAACUUUCAGUUACUUAUGAAAGAGAAGGAAAUAAACCUGAUAUUGUUGUCACAGUUUGACAAGAAUCUUCCCAGGAUAUUAAUGGCAAGUACACGUAAGCCACCAUUAUCUUCAAUGCUCAUUAUUGUUUGAACACAUUCAUAUAA